rnacentral:lncRNA from 1 species
CGGUGAUAUGGCGUUCCUAUUCAGCAGCAAAUCUCAUUUCCUGCCUCUAUGUUUACUUGGCAUUUUAACACUGAUACUCCCCUAAACACCCGUUAGACAACUUGCUCAAAAUACACACACCCCUUCACAUUAACAACCGCUUCUUCCACGCCAGUUAUCCUCUUUCUGUUUUCUUUCGCUUUCUCUAUACUCCUCCAUCUCCUUCACUUUCUCUGUACUCCUCCAUCUCUUUAAUACCCUUCUCUCCCUUUUUAUUUUUACGCCCAUGAACUGUUCGAAAAAAUGCCUUACCUGCCACCCGGAAUCAACAACUACUUCUAUUCAUUCAACAGAUCCCGGUAUGUAGUACUUUCAAACUUAAUCCUUACCAAUUAUGCUUAGCAAUUCUAAUCUACUCAACUAUAAUAUUUUUCUACUCUAAUUCUAUUGAAAGAGCAUAAUUGGCAUAAAUAAAAUAAGUAACUAAUAAUCUGAUAUCAUUCACGAUGUUCGAACCCAUGGGGGUUGCCUUCUAUCUCUCGAACUGAUAUAAGCAUUGUGGGAAGAAACAAUUGUGUAUAUGAAGCGGUUCUGUGGUGUAAUUUCACGUUUAUAUUGCAAAAAAAGUCUUCUAUCUUUGUGUGCUUUUUGAGAACAAAUUGUCAACCUGGGGAUUCAGUUCUUGCUUCUGUAUGCUACCAAUUAACAUUUGUGUUCUAUGUUGUGUGUGAAUGAUUAUGUCCUUCUAUGUGAAGUGCCAAUGUGCCGAGUGCUCUCUUUUCUCCUCACUUCUACUCUCUUUUUUUGUAAUGUUUUUCAUCAUUUUCGUUUUCUUCACUUUUUGUGUGGUCACGCAAUUGUACUGUAAUCUUAUUUGCCUACUCUAUUCUAAAAAAAUAUCACGACAUAAUUUUGCUAUCAUGAGUGAUUAAUAUAUUUAUAUUUGCAUACUCUAAUUCUUCGGGUAAAAUAUGUUGUUUCUUGCACCUAGAAUGAGCAACUACUGAUGUUGACUCAACAAUCCAACUGUUGCACAUUAAUUAGGAAGUAGGAAAGUCGCUUUAGUUUUGUUAUUGUACGGCAAAUACAAGAAUAACGUACAACCAAAAAAUAACUUUAUGCUUUGAGCCUGUACGGGGUAAAGAUAUCGUUAUAUUUGGCUAAUUUAAUUGUAUAGGUGUCAACACAUAAGGAUUGCGAAGACAUAAUGCCAUUACGAGAUUGAGGUACAUUCCAAAUAAUCUUCGCCACUGUGAUUUAUGCACAAUUCAUAACUAAUCUAUUUGCACAAUUGACAACUAUUUCUCUAAACAUUCUUAAAUACUAUUACCAUAAUUAUUAGCCCAA